rnacentral:lncRNA from 1 species
UGAACCCAUGGCUGCGGGCUGUGCUGAGGUCAUAGUCAGGCCUGAAAGGACUCGCUGAGCAUGACAAUCAAGUGGAAGAGGGUCUUGCAAUUGCACUUGUCCCUGAGGGGGGCCCUUGUCCUUGCCACCUUGGUUCUUGCUCAGGCUGCUGGGGCUGAGGCCUGAGGUCUGGGAUGGGGAGAGAGCCUUCAGUAUGUGGGCCGCCCUCCUGUCAGAACAGUGUUUGUCGUCUCCUGCUAUCUUACGGAGCAAACAGCCAUGUUGUAAAUGGCCUCUGAGGAGGACUGGCCUCUAGGAGUUGAGGACCUCAAGCCUACAUCUGCAAGGAAUUGAACGAUGCCAAGAACCCGAACAAACUCUGAAGAUGAGAAUGCGGCCCUGGUGCCAAGACUGGCUGCCUUCCCCUGUUUCUGUACCACACUGGUUCCUGAAGCUAUUUGAGUUUGAGACUGCUGGGGUAACCUGACCCACUUCAAGGAUCUGAAAGUAUUUUACAGGUUGGUUGAAUCCAUGGAUGUGGAACCCAUGGAUGUGAAGGACUGACUGUACUUUGCACUAGUGGUUCUCAAAGUGUGGGCCCUGGACCAGUGGCAGCAGCAUCACCUGGGAACUUGUGAGAAAUGCACUUUUCAGCUCCUGUUUCAGAUGGACCUAUCAGAAUCUCUGCAGGGCUGGAGUGCAAUGGCGUGAUCUCGGCUCGCCGCAACCUCCACCUCCUGGGUUCAAGCAAUUCUCCUGCCUCAGCCUCCUGGGUAGCUGGGAUUACAGGUAUGUGCCACCAUGCCCGGCUAAUUUUGUAUUUUUAGUAGAGACAGGGUUUCUCCAUGUCGGUCAGGCUGGUCUCGAACUUCCAACCUCAGGUGAUCUGCCUCCUUGGCCUCCCAAAGUGCUGGGAUUACAGGUGUGAACCACUGUGCCCAGCCCUCAGUUCCUUUUCUUAUAAAAUUGAGCUGCUUUGCCUAGUUCAACCAUUGUGGAAGACAGUGUGGCAAUUCCUCAAGGAUCUAGAACUAGAAAUACCAUUUGACCCAGCCAUCCCAUUACUGGAUAUAUACCCAAAGGAUUAUAAAUCAUGCUGCUAUAAAGACACAUGCACACGUAUGUUUAUUGUGGCACUAUUCACAAUAGCAAAGACUUGGAACCAACCCAAAUGUCCAACAAUGAUAGACUGGAUUAAGAAAAUGUGGCACAUAUACACUAUGGAAUACUAUGCAGCCAUAAAAAAGGAUGAGUUCAUGUCCUUUGUAGGGACAUGGAUGAAACUGGAAACCAUCAUUCUCAGCAAACUAUUGCAAGGACAGAAAACCAAACACCACAUGUUCUCACUCAUAGGUGGUAACUGAACAAUGAGGACACUUGGACACAGGAUGGGGAACAUCACACACCAGGGCCUGUAGUGGGGUGGGGGAAGCGGGGAGGGAUAGCAUUAGGAGAUAUACCUAAUGUAAAUGACAAGUUAAUGGGUGCAGCACACCAACAUGGCACAUGUGUACAUAUGUAACAAACCUGCACGUUGUGCACAGGUACCCUAGAACUUAAAGUAUAAU